UUGUGGUGCCUGUUGGCUCCAAUUUAGAAGCGCUCUGGACCUGAUACAAAGCUCCAUGGCUGUUAGUCUCUCCAAUUCAACAACAAGAAGAAGAAUUACUUUAAUUUUCUCAAACUACCAUCAUUUUCCCGCCAAGCCCAUUGUCCAGCAAUCCCUAAAUGUUCUCGUAAAUCCACAGCGUCAGCUGCUUCUUCUUCUUCUUACGUGGCUGUUGGACCUGAGAAAGACCGGCUUCCAGCAGACAUUAAUGUCACGGAGACUGUAGAGCCCAAUUCUAGGUUGAGGUUGAGCGUAGAAGUCCCACCGGCUGUAUGCGACGAUUGUUAUAAAAGGGUCAUGAACGAGUUCAUGAAGCAAGCUAAGGUCCCUGGUUUUCGUCCUGGAAAGAAUGUUCCAGAGAGCAUUCUUUUAAGUUAUGUUGGCAAGCAGAAUGUUCUGAAGGCAACAGUCGAAUCUGUUUUGAAGAGGACCCUUCCACAUGCCAUGUCUUCGGUGACUGGAAGGGCUUUGAGGGAUUCAGUCCGAAUUGCAACCAAAUUCUCUGAUAUGGAGAAGGAUUAUUCUUCUCACAACUCUCUCAGAUAUGAUGUUAUUGUUGAUGUGGCGCCUGAAGUCAAAUGGAUCCCUGAUAAUGGAUACAAAAAUUUGAAGAUUAUUGUUGAAUUAGACAGUGACAUAAAUGCAGAGGGAGCUUCUGAAAAAGAAUUAAGACGUCGUCAAAAGUCCCUGGGUACACUGAGAAUUGUAACUGACAGAGGACUACAGAUUGGCGAUGUUGUAGUGCUUGACAUUUCAGCAACAAAAAUUGAUAAGGAUAAAUCAAAUGUUCAAAAUAUUCCGGAUGCAGAGAGUAAAGGUUUUCAUUUUGAUACAGAGGAUGGUGAUAAAGUACUUCCUGGUUUCCUUAAUUCAAUAAUUGGAAUCCAACGAGGAGAAAAAAAAUCCUUCCCUCUUGUGUUUCCUGAAUCAUGGAGCCAAGCAAGUCUUCGUGGUGUUCAUGCUCAAUUUACUGUUGAAUGCAAAGAGUUGUUCUAUAGAGAUAUGCCAGAGUUGGAUGACUCCCUUGCUGACAAACUCCUUCCUGGAUGCACUACAUUGCAGCAAGUCAAGGAUUCAUUGUUUCAGAAAUGCCUAGAAGUGGAGCAAAUGGCAAAAGACCAAGCAACUGACAAUGCAAUUCUCGACCAGCUUACCAAGAUGGUGGAGGUUGAUAUUCCCCAAUCCCUGUUUGAGGAACAAGGUAGGCAGCUGUAUGGAGCAAAACUUCUUGAAAUCCAGGCAAAUAUGAAACUGAAUGAGCAGCAGUUGGCUUCUCUAUCUAGUCCAAAGGCAGUUAAUGAGUACCUAGAAAACCAAAAGGAGAACAUAACGAAGAUGAUAAAACAGAAUCUGGCUGUUGGAGAUAUAUUUAAGCGAGAAAAUUUGCAGUUUUCAACAGAGGAGCUUGUCAAAGAAGUCGAGAACUCAACUACUGAAUUCAAACAACACAAACAAGAAUAUGAUGAGGAGAGAGUUAGGGAUCAGGUACAAGAGGUAUUAGAGGGAGCAAAAGUGCUUGAAUGGCUGAGAGAGCAUGCAGAGAUUCAGUACAUAACCAGAUGAGAGAGAGAGAGGGAGUUCUACACACUGGGGAAGUGUUGAGUAGAAAUUGCAUUAUAGAGGUGCUGGUGCUUCACAAAAUUUUGAUUCUUCUGUAAUGAAUAUGGAAUGAAAUAUGACUUCAGUGUAGCACUGUUAAGAAAUGAAUGUAGGAUACGCAGUUCCAAACUUUCAUACGGAAAAUGGGCAUCUGUUAUAAAUUGUGAACUUGUGGAGGGAAUAUCAGCGGCUUCUACAAUGAAAGCAGACCACUGGUUCGAAGUUACUAAUAGCUUCGCCAAGUGCACUUGGCGAUUUAAUUAAUAGGAGGUUAAUUAUUUUGUCUUUCAAGAGUUGUUGCAAGUGUAAGAACCUUCACUAGGUACAGGGUAAAGGAGAUUGAGCCAAAU
rnacentral:misc_RNA from 1 species